rnacentral:rRNA from 1 species
UACAGAGGUGGCAAGCGUUGUUCGGAAUUACUGGGCGUAAAGGGCUCGUAGGCGGCCAACUAAGUCGGAUGUGAAAUCCCCAGGCUUAACCUGGGAACUGCAUCCGAUACUGGAUGGCUUGAAUCCGGGAGAGGGAUGUGGAAUUCCAGGUGUAGCGGUGAAAUGCGUAGAUAUCUGGAGGAACACCGGUGGCGAAGGCGACAUCCUGGACCGGUAUUGACGCUGAGGCGCGAAAGCCAGGGGAGCAAACGGG